AGACAAUAUAGGAAAUGGCAUUAAUAAGCACGUAAUAUUGUUGCAAAGUUACGUUUUUUAGAAAAAAUAGAAAAAAUUUUGGAAAAAAACAACUUAGGUGUUAUGGAUGUAAAUUUUGACCCAAAUGUUUAUAAUCCAGAUAAAAAUGCACCUAAAAGUGAACUUACAAAAAUAAAACUAAAUGAAAAAGAAGAAUCUGAUGCAUAUAAUAAUAAUAAACCUAAUUUAACUAAUUUAUCAGAAAUUAAAGUAAACAAAAUAAAAAAUAAAAAAGCAUUACGUUUAAUAGUUAGUGAAAAUCAUGCAACAACUCCAUCUUUUUUUUGAAGAAUCACUUUUACAAGAAGAUGUAAUCAAUUUUAUACAUAGUAAAGGUAAAGUAUUUCAUUUACCAAAUAUGAAGUUUAUGUUAAUUGACUUAAAUAGUAAUACAAAUGAUGAAGAAUUGGAGUUAUAUAUUAAUACUUUGGAAAAUAAAGGAGCACAUGUUGAACCUGAUCAAUUAGUUGGUGGAGAUGACUUAGAUUUGACAUCUAUAAUGAAUGCAGUAAGGAAUGGAGAAGAUAACAUUGAUUUAAAAAAUUAUAGUUACAAUAAUCAAUUAACAACAGGACAAAAUGACAAUAUAAUUGCACUAGGUGAAUCUAUUUUAUCAGAUAAUAACAACCAUACUACUACAAAGAAUAGUGAUAAUAUUCAUGUUAAGAGUACCAGUAGUGAUACGGAAGAAGAAGAAGAAGAACAUACUUAUUUUAAAUCAAAUAAAAAUAAAAUAUAUAAAUUUAAUGAUGAAUAUAGAAAUCUUCAAUGGGGUUUAGAUUUAUCCAAAUUAGAUGAAGCACAAGAAAUAAUUAAAGAAAAUCAAAAAGUAUCUACUAAAAUUUGUGUUAUAGAUAGUGGAGUAGAUUAUAAUCAUCCUGAUUUAAAAGAUAAUAUUGAUAUAAAUAAUUCUGAAUAUUCAGGUAAAAAAGGUAUUGAUGAUGAUAAUAAUGAUGUAAUUGAUGAUAUAUAUGGAGCAAAUUUUGUAAAUAAUAGUGGUGACCCUAUGGAUGAUAAUUAUCAUGGUACACAUGUUGCUGGUAUUAUAUCUGCUAUUAGUAAUAAUAAUAUAGGAAUAGUAGGAGUUGAUUCUAAUGCUAAAUUAAUUAUAUGUAAAGCAUUAGAUGAACAUAAAAUAGGUAGAUUAGGUGAUAUAAUUAAAUGUAUUGAUUAUUGUAUAGAUAGAAAUGCAAAUAUAAUUAAUGGUAGUUUUUCAUUUGAUGAAUAUAGUUCUGUUUUUAAUGACACUACUAAAUAUAUAAAAUCCUUAGGUAUAUUAUUUGUUGUAUCUGUUGGUAAUUGUCUACAUCCAAAAUUUAUGAAACCUGACUUAAGUAAAUGUAAUUUAUCAUUCAAUGCUAGAUACCCAACUGUUCUUUCUAAUAUACAUGAUAAUAUAAUAGCUGUUGGAAAUUUACAAAAAGACUUAAAUGGUGAAUACUCUUUAUCACCAAACUCUUUUUAUGGUGAUAUAUAUUGCCAAGUAGCUGCACCUGGUACUAAUAUUUAUUCUACUACACCUUUUAAUACUUAUAGAAUGCUUAAUGGGACAUCUAUGGCAUCCCCUCAUGUUGCUGCUAUUGCUUCUAUUAUUUACUCAAUAAACCCAAAUUUAAGCUACAAAGAAAUCAUUGAAAUAAUGAAAAAAUCAAUAAUAAAAGUACCUGCUGUUCAAGAUAAAGUUGGAUGGGGUGGAUAUAUUGACAUACAUCAGGCUGCUACAUUGGCUAUUGAAUCAAAAGCACCUUAUGUACAAUUUAGUGAUUGGUUUAAGUGGAAGAAAAACCGACACUAAAUCCAAUUUUUGGCAAAAGCAUGAUGCAUUUCUGAUAAUUGGCACUUAUCAUCUAGAGUCACAUGAUACGCACACAUACGUACGUACGUACAUAUAUAUAUAUAUAUAUAUAUAUAUAUGUAUAUGCGCAUUUAUGCGUAAGAAACAUAAACGUUGGUAAAACGUACCGUCUAUUGGGGGAAUAUAUAAGCUUAGCGAAAUAAGCAUGCUCCUUUUUUUUAUUUUUUUAUUUUUUUGUAUUAACACAGUGAUCCAUCAUAAAUAUGAACAUAUGAGCGUAUAAGCGUAUGCGCAUAUGAACACAUGAGCAUAUGAGCAUAGGAGCUUAGAAAAAAAAUAAAAAAUAAGAAAAAGCUUUCA
rnacentral:lncRNA from 1 species